rnacentral:lncRNA from 1 species
AAAGCUUGAUUUCUCGCUAACCUCUCAUCCAUCAAUUGUGGGCUUAUCUUCUCCAUCGUCUUUAGUUCAUAAUAUGGCGAUUGUAGGUGCAUUGGAACGACGUUAGACUCUCCAACUGUAUUAGCUCUAGAGCACCCGUCUACUAGACUAUUCACUACACUGUUGGAUUCAAGUACAGUUAGUCCUCUAACUUCUAUUGGUUUUUGCAAGCAGAAUAAUGUUCCUUGAUCU